GGAAGAGCCUGGUGGUCUUGGUAACGCCUACUCUCUCUCCGAUCUAGGUUUUCAAAUUGUUUCUCUGUUUCGAAAUUUAAAGGCCAAAUCGAAGAGUUAAUCAGAUCGAUCUUCUUCCAAUUGAUCAGUUCUUAAAAGUAUUCCAGAAAUCUCCAGUUCCAGGCAAAUACUUGAGCAACCUUACUUCAAAACCUUUUCUCGAUUAAAUUUGAAAUUUGUAAAUAUCGAUUCUGCAUAGUUUGGGUUUAAAUCGAUUCCAAGCUAAUUUUCACUGUUCGUUUCGGAAUUGGAAUGCUUAUCUCUUCAAUUAGCUGGAAGAGGCAUUUCGAAAUGGCAAGUGUGAAAAAAGAUCUGAUUGUUCAAGUAGAGUCAACAUGUGGAUCUCUCCUUUACGAACUUCAGGUGUGUGAUUAAAUAAAAAGUCUUUUGUCUUUCAUAUCAUAUCAAAUUUUGUGUGAAGUUCUUAUGAAGCACUAGCCUCGAAGACAAUAGUUUGGGAACAAGAGAAAGGAAUUGAAUUUCUCUAUGCUGGUAUUCGUCUACUCUCCAUGCUCGAGGAGUAUAACUUACUCAGGCAGGAAUUUCGAGGAAGAACACCGUCGCCAACGGGAUCAUAAGAAGCAGAACAAGAGGCGCUUUACGGGUCAAAACCAAGCCCAUCAAAACCUCUUGGUGGUAAAAAGGCUCCAAGAAUGUCAACCGGUGGUGCAGCAACCAACAGAAGACUCUCCUUAGGAGCAGGGAUGCAUUAGACUCCUAAACCUAACAAGAAAACAGACCAGCGCCAGAUUGAUGGAGCUUUAUCAACUGAUAACUAAUGAACCGUAACUAAUGAAGAAGAGGGCUUGAUGUUGCUGGACUUCCCUCAAGGAAACAGUCAAUGAAUCCAUGUGAACAGCUGCAAUCUCCACUAGUGCGCAAACCAUUCUCACCUCUUCCUACCACGGUGGUUGCAUCAAAGGCUAACAUAGCAACGCCGCAGCAACUUCUUCCAACCCCGAAAAGCAACGUAGUGAAUGAGAUAUCGGCAUUUGCAACUCCCGUCAAGAACAACAACAGUGUAAGGAACUUGGAAGAAGAGAAGAUGCAGAUGAUGAUGAUGCAAACACCAAAGAAUGUAGGGGCAAUGAUUCUUAUCCCAUCUACACCAGCAACAAUCUCUGUGCCGAUGCAAACUGCAGCAACACCACUCAACAAUACCAAUGCGAGAUUGCUUCAAGAAAAGGCUGAAGUUGUUGAGUACUCCUUUGAGGAACGAAGACUCGCUUUCAUGCUACAGUCCGAGUCUUUGAUCCACGUCUGAUUUUCAUUCUGUCUUUAUUUUUUGUGUAAAACUCAAAUUGAUUGUUCUUUGGUUUGUUAAAAGGUCAAUUAUAUGAUUGGCUUUUUCUUUAAGUAAUCGUUUUCACAUGUGUAAGGUUUCUUGGAGACUAACAAGAAAAGUUGUUUCUCAGUCUAAAGAACUCUAUAGACGCAAAGUGAUAUCUGAACAAAGCUCUGAGUCUGAUGGAUCUUCUUCA